UAUUGGUCAAUGGGCGCUAGCCUGAACCAGCCAAGUAGCGUGAAGGAUGACUGCCCUAUGGGUUGUAAACUUCUUUUAUAUGGGAAUAAAAUGAGUUACGUGUAGCUUUUUGUAUGUACCAUAUGAAUAAGGAUCGGCUAACUCCGUGCCAGCAGCCGCGGUAAUACGGAGGAUGCGAGCGUUAUCCGGAUUUCUUGGGUUUAAAGGGUGCGUAGGCGGUUACUUAAGUCAGCGGUCAAAUGGCGGGGCUCAACCCCGUCCAGCCGUUGAAACUGGGUAGCUUGAGUCGGCGAGAAGUACGCGGAAUGCGCGGUGUAGCGGUGAAAUGCAUAGAUAUCGCGCAGAACUCCGAUUGCGAAGGCAGCGUACCGGCGCCGCACUGACGCUGAGGCACGAAAGCGUGGGUAUCGAACAG
rnacentral:rRNA from 1 species